AUUGAACGCUGGCGGCAGGCCUAACACAUGCAAGUCGAACGGUAACAGGAAGAAGCUUGCUUCUUUGCUGACGAGUGGCGGCCGGGUGAGUAAUGUCUGGGAAACUGCCUGAUGGAGGGGGAUAACUACUGGAAACGGUAGCUAAUACCGCAUAACGUCGCAAGACCAAAGAGGGGGACCUCCGGGCCUCUUGCCAUCGGAUGUGCCCAGAUGGGAUUAGCUAGUAGGUGGGGUAACGGCUCACCUAGGCGACGAUCCCUAGCUGGUCUGAGAGGAUGACCAGCCACACUGGAACUGAGACACGGUCCAGACUCCUACGGGAGGCAGCAGUGGGGAAUAUUGCACAAUGGGCGCAAGCCUGAUGCAGCCAUGCCGCGUGUAUGAAGAAGGCCUUCGGGUUGUAAAGUACUUUCAGCGGGGAGGAAGGGAGUAAAGUUAAUACCUUUACUCAUUGACGUUACCCGCAGAAGAAGCACCGGCUAACUCCGUG
rnacentral:rRNA from 1 species